AUGCCUAGAUCCCGUGUAAAUGGAAAUUUCAUUGAUAAGACCUCCUCAAUUGUAGCCAAUAUUUUAUUGCGAAUAAUUCCGACAACCUCAGGAGAAAAAAAGGCAUUUACUUAUUAUAGAGAUGGGAUGUUGGCUCAAUCCGAAGGAAAUUAUGCGGAAGCUUUGCAAAAUUAUUAUGAAGCUACGCGACUAGAAAUCGAUCCCUAUGAUCGAAGUUAUAUACUCUAUAACAUAGGCCUUAUACACACAAGCAAUGGAGAGCAUACAAAGGCUUUGGAAUAUUAUUUCCGGGCACUAGAACGAAACCCCUUCUUACCGCAAGCUUUUAAUAAUAUGGCCGUGAUCUGA
rnacentral:rRNA from 1 species